UACAGAGGGGGCAAGCGUUAUUCGGAAUUAUUGGGCGUAAAGGGUGCGUAGGCGCCUGGCAAGUGGAAGGUGAAAUCCCUCGGCUUAACCGAGGAACUGCCUUCCAAACUGCUUGGCUUGAGUCCGGGAGGAGGUGAGUGGAAUUCCCAGUGUAGCGGUGAAAUGCGUAGAUAUUGGGAGGAACACCAGUGGCGAAGGCGGCUCACUGGACCGGAACUGACGCUGAGGAGCGAAAGCAUGGGGAGCGAACAGG
rnacentral:rRNA from 1 species